rnacentral:lncRNA from 1 species
CACGGCUGAUCUAAUCACCUAUACCUUUGUCAUAACAGCAGAAAGUAGUUAUAUUCCUACAGAAAAAAACCCGUUAUCAACUACUACCAAUAACAGUUCCACUUGUUAUACACUUUGUAAUAUGGCUUCCCAUCUAUGAACUCUAUUCAUAUAGUAUAAUGCUUACUACUGAUAAGAAAUAUAAAUAUAUAUAAUCUUACCAGUAUGAAACUCUC